rnacentral:rRNA from 1 species
AUUGAACGCUGGCGGCACGCCUAACACAUGCAAGUCGAGCGGUAACAUGCUUAGUAGCAAUACUAAGUGAUGACGAGCGGCGGACGGGUGAGGAACACGUAGGAACCUGCCCAAAAGUGGGGGAUAACUAAGGGAAACUUUAGCUAAUACCGCAUAAUUCUCUGAGGAGAAAAGUUGCCCGUAAGGGUAGCGCUUUUGGAGGGGCCUGCGUCCGAUUAGUUAGUUGGUGAGGUAAUGGCUCACCAAGACUGUGAUCGGUAACUGGUCUGAGAGGACGACCAGUCACACUGGGACUGAGACACGGCCCAGACUCCUACGGGAGGCAGCAGUGGGGAAUCUUGGACAAUGGGGGCAACCCUGAUCCAGCGAUGCCGCGUGGGUGAAGAAGGCCUUCGGGUUGUAAAGCCCUUUAGGCUGGGAAGAAGAGUGUGGGGUGAAUAAUCCUGUACUUUGACGGUACCAGCAGAAUAAGCACCGGCAAACUCUGUGCCAGCCGCCGCAGUAA